rnacentral:ribozyme from 14 species
GCAAUCAAUAAGAGAGAAAAAAGAAAGGAUAAAAACAGCCAGCCUUGCGGACUUUCCAUUUUAUUGCAUGGUCCCUGCUUGUGUGUUUCUUUUCAAUAAGGGAGAAUAGUGAGGAUAAGGGGAAGAGAAAAUAACAGAAAUGCGUCAAACAUACGGAACUUUUUUAAAUACUGACUUUACACGUGUUCUCUAUUUUGAUGACUGAAUUUAUUAAACAGAAAGAAAAAAA